CGGGGCCGUGCGGGGCAGGGUGGCGGGAGCCCGGCGGCUCUCCCGCAGCGAGGGGAGCCGGGUGGGACCGGCCGCACGCCACCGCUGCCUCCCGCCGCUCCCCUCCUCGGAAGGGGCGGCCUGCCUUCACCCCUUCCCCAUCCCGGGUGUUUCAGUUCCUUUGUGAAUGAGGAAUCCUCCCCCUGACUUUGUGUCUAUUUCUGAAGGGGAGACUGCGCUCGGAAGACGCGCCCACUUGCCCUGAAGUCCGUCACCUGCAACGCUGGAGCGAUUUAAAACUCACCUUUAGUGGAAGGUCAUUUGUCAACUUGUCAGCCCGAGGGUUGGGACGGUGCAGCCACCGGGCCAUGGUGGGGAUAUCACGGGAUGAACGGGCCUUGCAGAGGCGCCGUGUCCAAUAGGUCUCUGGCACACAGCAGCGCACACAGGAGCCAUGACACCAGUGUUUCAAGGGUCUGUUGCUCCUUAUCAGCAGAAUAGGAAUGAUGAAGACAGAGUGUCUUGGCUUUUCAAGUUUAAGAAAAUGUGGAGGCACUGGCGCAUUAGGUAUUGCUGUGAAGGAUCAAGAUACAUGGUUAAGAGGAAACAAACAAAUGGAAGGUGCUUUUCAAAUGAAGUUUAUUGGAUUUUUGCGAAGCAUUUAUGCAAACCUCUUUCCACUCCUUGGGAAAAAAAAAAAGGGGAAGAAGGGAAGAAUUUGUGACUAGA